rnacentral:rRNA from 1 species
GGCGGGACACGUGGUAUCCUGUCUGAAUAUGGGGGGACCAUCCUCCAAGGCUAAAUACUCCUGACUGACCGAUAGUGAACCAGUACCGUGAGGGAAAGGCGAAAAGAACCCCGGCGAGGGGAGUGAAAAAGAACCUGAAACCGUGUACGUACAAGCAGUGGGAGCCCCACCACUAAGCCAGUGGUGAACUCCACAUACGCAUCCUUUGCUGAGGAUACGGUUAACGGAGCGAAAGCGACGUUCAACCUCAAAAGAAGCAGAGGGGGCUUAGUGGUGGGGUGACUGCGUACCUUUUGUAUAAUGGGUCAGCGACUUAUAUUCUGUAGCAAGGUUAACCGUAUAGGGGAGCCGCAGGGAAACCGAGUCUUAACCGGGCGUUAAGUUGCAGGGUAUAGACCCGAAACCCGGUGAUCUAGCCAUGGGCAGGUUGAAGGUUGGGUAACACUAACUGGAGGACCGAACCGACUAAUGUUGAAAAAUUAGCGGAUGACCUGUGGCUGGGGGUGAAAGGCCAAUCAAACCGGGAGAUAGCUGGUUCUCCCCGAAAGCUAUUUAGGUAGCGCCUCGUGAACUCAUCUCCGGGGGUAGAGCACUGUUUCGGCUAGGGGGCCAUCCCGGCUUACCAACCCGAUGCAAACUGCGAAUACCGGAGAAUGUUAUCACGGGAGACACACGGCGGGUGCUAACGUCCGUCGUGAAGAGGGAAACAACCCAGACCGCCAGCUAAGGUCCCAAAGUCAUGGUUAAGUGGGAAACGAUGUGGGAAGGCCCAGACAGCCAGGAUGUUGGCUUAGAAGCAGCCAUCAUUUAAAGAAAGCGUAAUAGCUCACUGGUCGAGUCGGCCUGCGCGGAAGAUGUAACGGGGCUAAACCAU